GACGAACGCUGGCGGCGUGCCUAAUACAUGCAAGUCGAACGAGUUGCGAACGGGUGAGUAACGCGUAGGAAACUGCCUCAUAGCGGGGGAUAACUAUUGGAAACAAUAGCUAAUACCUCCUACCAUCAGAUGUGGCCAGAUGGGAUUAGCUGGUUGGGGGGGUAACGGCUCACAAAGGCGACGAUCCCUAGCUGGUCUGAGAGGAUGACCAGCCACACUGGAACUGAGACACGGCCCAGACUCCUACGGGAGGCAGCAGUGGGGAAUAUUGCACAAUGGGCGCAAGUCUGAUGCAGCAAUGCCGCGUGUAUGAAGAAGGCUUUCGGGUUGUAAAGUACUUUCAGUGGGGAGGCGUUAUCCGCAGAAGAAGCACCGGCUAACUCCGUGCCAGCAGCCGCGGUAAUUC
rnacentral:rRNA from 1 species